rnacentral:misc_RNA from 1 species
CCCCGGAAGCUUUUAAAUUAGAUGCCUCAACAAAGAUUCAUCAUCACAUUUAAAAAUGUAUUCAAUGGCCACAAUUCCCAUUCUGAGAAUUUACAAGACAAUAAUGGCACAUCAGCAUCAUUUGUUAGCCAAAUGGGGAGAGAACCACCCCAUGUUUUGCCUGUCAUUUUAUGAGAAAAUACCACAAGAAACUAAGAAGCUCAACUGAGACUAGAAAUCAUUUGGGAGCAAGUCCAUGAAAUUAUCAAUCGUCUUUCUGAUGCAAAACACUAGGCAGGCUAUUAUUUAAACCAUUGAGAGCAGCAUGAUAUACUCGCUUCUCAGCUAGUCCAAUAUCUGACAUAACUAAAUCACCCUCAUGAGCCAUUAAACGUCGGACAUUACAAGCAUACAGCUUUGGGUCGUCCUUCUCCUCCUGUGAUGGGUAGUAAACAGGUAACCUUUUCACUUCUAUGUAAUUUAUGAAUUGACAGAGGAGAAAAAUCACAUGGCGCACCCCAGAAAUUGAAUCCCAGGCAGGACUGAAUCUCUGGUAAGGAUAUCUCAGAAUCACUGGAAGCACAGGAACACCAGCUAAGAAUGCACCUGUCUUGAAUGGAAGAAGGAAGUCUCCAUUUGUGGUGGUGCCUUCAGGAAACAGCAUCAUCGUAGGAGCAGACCUAUUCUGAUAAGCUUCUCUAACUCUUUCAGUCACGAGACCUGCAACGCCCUUGAAGUCCGAUGACUUUGACUCUCUCUGAACAUAGACACAACCAAGGCACUUGCUGAUGAGACCAACAAGAGGAAGUUUAGCCACUGAUCUCUUGGCAACAAAACUUGGAAAAGAAGAAGACAUGUGAUACAAAAUAUCUAAAUACGAAAUAUGAUUAGAAAUUAUUGCCCCAGGUCUUUCGGGUUCUGCAGAUUGAUCUCUGCCCUCAUUCUGAGAGAAAGACUUGUCUUGAGGCUGCUCUACAAUCCUAUAGGUUUCCUUAAUCCAACAAAAUCCAAACAGGAAAAGCAUAGCUCUAGAGAGAAAACUCCCGCACCUUACAAUCACGUCCCUUCUCCACCCUCCCAUAUGCGCGAAAUCCUCCUGCUCCUCCUCCUCGUCCCUGUUCGGAGCGGAGAACAGCGUGCAAAUCCUACAAAUCGUGUAAUAAAAUAACAAUAUUAUCAUUGCAAGCACAACUCGAAUCGGCAACAGCGUCACCAACGAGAUGCCUAGCAGGAACUUCUCCACCAAAGGCAGCUCGCCGCGUCCCAUGGUCCCGUAUACGUCGUUGCGUACGAACGCAGCGAAUUUCUUCUCCAGCUCUUCAAUACUCUCCGACGAAGACAUCCGGUUAGCGUCGGAUUUGAGGAGAGGACGAUCAUCCUUGGUGGAGGCAUCGUCGUGGGCGGGUUCCAGUUGAGAUUCGAGUGGGUGGAGCUUGGAAGGAUCCGGAUUCAUAUCUUCAAGCUCCGACUCCAUUGUUUUAUAGAAGAAAAGAAAUAAUGGUAAUAAUCAACGGAUUGAUUUUAGGGGAAUAGAGAAGAUUAAAUUGGAUUAGCCAUGGCUGCUUCCCGUAAGUUGUAGAUCUGAGUCUGAGAAAAGGGUAAGUGCCACGGUCUCUAUCUCUAUCUGUCUC